rnacentral:tRNA from 1 species
GUCUUUUGAGUAUGUAUAGUAUAGCUGCCUUCCAAGUAGCAGGAUUAAUAAUUUAAAAAAGACA